GAGAGAGAGAGAGAGAGAGAGAGAGAGAGAGAGAGAGAGAGAGAGAGAGAGAGAUAUGAUAAUAUGGGGGAGUGUAUGAGUCUGCCUUGACUGGAGGUCCAAGAGGACUUCGUGGGGGUACAUGUGAGAGCCUCAAAAUAAAGAGUGGGGAGGACCAAGUAGAAAGUUGAGGCUGAGGGUUGGUGGAUGAGUGGGCCGCGAGAAGGGGAGGGGAACUGGAAUGGCCAGGGAGCCACAUAUUCCUCCUGAAUUCCCGUCCCCUGGUCUCUGACAGCCAAGCCCUGCUGACACAGCCUUUGGAGACCUGGAGUGUGAAGUUUAGCACCUCGGAGCCGCCCAGCCCCGCACGUUCAGCUCCAGCGUCCGGCUGGGGGAGCUGCUGCGCCAGACGUGGCCUUCCGAGGGCGCCACCGGGGCCCAGAUCUGGACCUUAGGGGCCACUGAAAGGAGCUAGGUGCACCGACGCCGAGUUUGCGCAGGAACCACUCGGCAAGCCGGGAAAGAAGAGCUCAUACUCUCCUACACAGAGGAUCUUUUCUGGAGUUGCAUAUGAUCUAACCAUAGGAACCUCCUGGCUCCCUAACUGCGGAGGGGGCCUCCUGGAAUCACCUCAAACACGGAAUGCCACCCGCCACUGCCCAGCCCUCCAAAGGCCUCUCCGUGGGCAGCUUUGGAGGUGGCUGAAACACAGAAGUGCUCGCCAACGCA